AGCCAGUUCUCUGGCCCAAUACUGACACUGAGGAGCGAAAGCGUGGGGAGCGAACAGGAUUAGAUACCCUGGUAGUCCACGCCGUAAACGGUGGGCGCUAGUUGUGCGAACCUUCCACGGUUUGUGCGACGCAGCUAACGCAUUAAGCGCCCCGCCUGGGGAGUACGAUCGCAAGAUUAAAACUCAAAGGAAUUGACGGGGCCCCGCACAAGCAGCGGAGCAUGCGGCUUAAUUCGACGCAACGCGAAGAACCUUACCAAGGCUUGACAUAUACAGGAAUACGGCAGAGAUGUCGUAGCGGUAAAACGUCUGUAUACAGGUGGUGCAUGGUUGUCGUCAGCUCGUGUCGUGAGAUGUUGGGUUAAGUCCCGCAACGAGCGCAACCCUCGUUCUGUGUUGCCAGCAUUUAGUUGGGGACUCACAGGAGACUGCCGGGGUUAACUCGGAGGAAGGUGGGGAUGACGUCAAAUCAUCAUGCCCCUUAUGUCUUGGGCUGCACGCAUGCUACAAUGGCUGGUACAAACGGCUGCAAUACCGCAAGGUGGAGCGAAUCCGAUAAAGCCAGUCUCAGUUCGGAUUGGGGUCUGCAACUCGACCCCAUGAAGUCGGAGUUGCUAGUAAUCGUAGAUCAGCAACGCUACGGUGAUACGUUCCCGGGGCUUGUACACACCGCCCGUCACAUCACGAAAGUCGGUAACACC
rnacentral:rRNA from 1 species